rnacentral:rRNA from 1 species
CUACGGGGCGCAGCAGUGAGGAAUAUUGCACAAUGGGGGGAACCCUGAUGCAGCAACGCCGCGUGGAGGAUGACGCAUUUCGGUGUGUAAACUCCUUUUAUAUGUCAAGAAAAUGACGGUAGCAUAUGAAUAAGCACCGGCUAACUCCGUGCCAGCAGCCGCGGUAAUACGGAGGGUGCAAGCGUUACUCGGAAUCACUGGGCGUAAAGGACGCGUAGGCGGGCUUGUAAGUCAGGUGUGAAAUCCUACAGCUUAACUGUAGAACUGCACUUGAAACUACGAGCCUAGAGUAUGGGAGGGGCAGAUGGAAUUAGUGGUGUAGGGGUAAAAUCCGUAGAUAUCACUAGGAAUACCUAAAGCGAAGGCGAUCUGCUGGAACAUAACUGACGCUAAGGCGUGAAAGCGUGGGGAGCAAACAGGAUUAGAUACCCCUGUAGUC